UCAUUCUUGAAGUCAGCAAGACUAAGAACCCACCAGAAGGAACAAAUUCUGGUCACACCAUGGGGAUUGGAAUAUAGUCUGUUGAAAUUGUGGGACCCAUCCACUCCUCACUAGAUUGUAUCCUCAACCCUAUCUGACCUUAUUGCUGCUCACACUCUGUGUCCCAGGAUGAAAUCUCAAGAUGAUGGAGGAGUGCCCCCUUUGACCUGAAGCACCUGCUCAGCUAGGAACCAAAUUCAAGGGGGAGGUGACUUGGACGCUGGCAAGUCUCGACCCGCCCCCCAAUAUACUGGGGAUUCAUGAUCCACAGAAAAAUAGAGAACACAGCCCUGCGACUAAAGCAAAGCCACACAGACAAGCCAUCAAAAUGUUGAGAGACUCAAAUA
rnacentral:lncRNA from 1 species